ensembl:lncRNA
CUAACAAACAAGUAUAAAGUACAACUUUUUAUCUCCUGAAGUAAAACAAUCUUCCCACAACCAUAAAUUAUCUACCAGUAAAGAAAUUCAGCCUUGACUCCUAGCAGCAGAAAGUAGAAGAGGCCCUUCUCCUGCAGCCGGCCUCCUCUGCUGCAGCCCUGGUCAUGGACAGCACCAGCUCUGUCCUCCCCACAUCCUGCUGGAAAGGGGCAUUCCCAGCACCAAUAGAAUUCCAGGUAACUGAGCCAAAACAUCCACUUGCAGCUCUGGGAAUGGGUCUUGCUGCAGCGACAGAUGCAUCCAGGACCUUGCUCUUAGUUAAUAAAUUCCAUUAUCACUGGAAAAAAAUCCAGCUGGUUCAAAGCACACUAAGGUCUAUGCAGAGAAGGAAGGACAGUUGUGAGCGCGCUACUCUGUCAUCUGCAGUGGCUCUAAGCCAGAUGUCAAGGCUGUUCAAAGCUGUAUUUAUAACCUGCAGCACUCCCACUUGUAGAAGCUCCAGUCGUGUCCCACUGCAACCACGGAACUACAAACAACAUUCGCUAGCAAUGGAGACCUAGGGGAAAAGCAGUUGACUGAUGUGUGAGAUGAGCCACAACAGCACGUAGUUCGUGGUAGAUAGACCAAAGAGAGCAACAGAUACAAUCUGUCUAGUCUUACAUUGGCAAACACGAACAAAAAUUUAUUACCAAACUCCACCUAACUGAAUUUACCUUUUUACAGUGUGGCCACAGAACAGCUGCUGCGCCUAUUUCAAAAUGCCAGCUCACAGGAACACAACAGCUGAAGGAUCACUGCUGGGUACUGAAGAGAAACUGUUAUGCUAUUUUGUUACUCAAAACUUAAGUCUCCUUCCUACUAAAUAAAUAAAUAAAUAAAUAAAAAUACAUGAAGUGGCUUUUGCUGUCUUUGUGGAAUAGUGAAACACUGUCUUUUGGCAGGACCAGCUGCCCCACUCAGCAGGUGAGCCUGUUGGUCCCCCCUGCUCUGUAGAGCUGUUCAGGACUUCCUCUCCUGACACUUUUUUUCCUGUUCACUCUUCUCCUUCUUAUUAUGUCCAGAGUUUUCAUUACUUUUUUU